rnacentral:rRNA from 1 species
UACGGGGGGAGCAAGCGUUGUUCGGAUUUACUGGGCGUAAAGAGCUCGUAGGCGGUUUGUCGCGUCUGCUGUGAAAACUCGGGGCUUAACCCCGGGCCUGCAGUGGGUACGGGCAGACUAGAGUGCGGUAGGGGAGACUGGAAUUCCUGGUGUAGCGGUGAAAUGCGCAGAUAUCAGGAGGAACACCGGUGGCGAAGGCGGUUCUCUGGGCAUGACCUGACGCUGAGGAGCGAAAGUGUGGGGAGCGAACAGG